rnacentral:rRNA from 1 species
UACGAAGGGGGCUAGCGUUGUUCGGAAUCACUGGGCGUAAAGCGCACGCAGGCGGAUCGUUAAGUCAGGGGUGAAAUGCCGAGGCUCAACCUCGGAACUGCCUUUGAUACUGAGAAGCUUGAGUCCGGGAGAGGUGAGUGGAACUGCGAGUGUAGAGGUGAAAUUCGUAGAUAUUCGCAAGAACACCAGUGGCGAAGGCGGCUCACUGGCCCGGUACUGACGCUGAGGUGCGAAAGCGUGGGGAGCAAACAGG